UUCGUGUGACGUAGGGCUGCGUAAGCAGUCGUUGGUGGGGUUCGCAGUGUAGAUUAGGCUUAGCACUAUAUAAGCGCUGGUGCUGUGCGGCUCCUUCCUUUUCCUUUGUCUUCAGCCUCGGUCAGGUUCAGGGUGUGGUUUUGUUGGGGUCCUUGGCGUGGCGGACAUGUGCGGUGCCGUCGUUGCCGGUGAUACCACGUGGCAAGAUUUUCCCAACAUCUACGAUAAAGAACUGCUCAACCUCUUCGGUUCAGCAUCGGGAUUCUUCCCUCUGGCCGAGCACAAUUUUUUUAACCUCGGCUGACCUCGUGAUGGAGAUGGAGUCGUGGAGUUUGGACUACUGAACUCGAGAAAUUGGCGGGAGAUCAUCCAGGGAGUUUCUGCGAGCCACGUGUCACGGAGACCCGCUAUGAUAAGUGAGCACAGUUAACCUCCACCCACGUGACAGAAAUAAUUCGAACCCUCAGUGUAGUUUAAAUUAGAUUAAUAGAUGAAUGAAAGAAUGAAUGAUAGGUUAAAAUAGAUUCGUCAAAAAUGUAUUUCGGUCCAUAGUGUAGAUUUAAAAUAAUUUCGGGUAGUGUUGAACUCAUUCGUUUAAUCCAUAAAAGGAAGAUAAAGUUGUUUGUUCAUUCAAAUUUGUAUUAAGCUUAAAAUUGUGUUUCCUUGUAUUACUUUCUACAUUAGUCUAAUUUAAUUUUGUUCUCCAAUCCAAUCUGAUCGCUAUUUUUUUUUUAAAUAAAUAUUAACUUCUCUGUGAUUUAAUUCAUUGCGUUAAGAAAUAAUUAAUAUUCUCUUGUUC